rnacentral:rRNA from 1 species
UACGAAGGGGGCUAGCGUUGCUCGGAAUUACUGGGCGUAAAGCGCACGUAGGCGGCUUUCUAAGUCGGGGGUGAAAUCCUGGAGCUCAACUCCAGAACUGCCUUCGAUACUGGAGAGCUUGAGUCCGGGAGAGGUGAGUGGAACUGCGAGUGUAGAGGUGAAAUUCGUAGAUACUCGCAAGAACACCAGUGGCGAAGGCGGCUCACUGGCCCGGUACUGACGCUGAGGUGCGAAAGCGUGGGGAGCAAACAGG